CGCCCUUCGAAUUAUCAAGAUUAAAUAUAAAAUCAGCUUCAACUUUAUUGGACAGUAGAUUAGCCCUAUUCAAAGGAGUUGUCACAAGUUCUUCGUCAACAAGGAGCUCAGUCAAUGUUUGUUCUUCCUCUUGAAAAGCUUCCUCUUCAUGUAGAUCUAAAUUUUUGUCCAUUUCUAGUUGGAUUGGUAUGUCAUAUAUGUUUCUAAAUAUUAUUCUUUGUACGACAUGCCAAUCAUCU
rnacentral:lncRNA from 1 species